rnacentral:lncRNA from 1 species
UAAAAACCCGAACCCGAACCCGACUCCGAACCCGAGACCCGAACCCGACGGAUUUUAAAAAUUCAUAUCUAAACCCGAACACGACCAAAAAUUCGAAACCCGAACCCGAACCCAAACCCGAAAAUUUGAACCCGAAACAAUUAUUUCUUUUUUCAAUAUUUCAAAAUAUAUUAUAUUAAAUCUAAAUUUUUAAAAAACAAAUUUAAAUAUAACAUCAAAUUUAUAUAUAUAUAUAUAUAUAUAUAUAUAUAUAUAUA